GGUAUCCUGUGGCCAGAAGGCUCUAGCUGGUAUAACGAGUCUAUAAGAGAUACAGAAUGAAACCUGGAGUUUUACUGAAGGAAAGACCUCCCAGAGACAUAAGUUUGGGGCGGUAUUAAAAUAUGUUUAAAAAAACACACAAAUAUCCGGACAACAGGGCAGCAGGGAGGUACACUGCCGCCAUGAAGGGCUUUGAAAGAAAUGGACACCGGCAGGGGGAAAGCAGCCGGGGGGUGAAGUCUCUGGUAUGGAAAGAUGCAGAUUGGAUCAGAUUCUCCACUUCUACACCAGAGGACCCAAAGGUAGCCUCCCAGGUUUCCCACAUACUGGAGAAGGGCUUGUAUUUUGGCCCAGGAGGACUUCAACCUGAUGAGUCUCCCCAUGCAGACAGUUUCUUAUCCAAAACCUAAACUGUUGCUGGAAUAUGAGAACGUUGUGGGCCCAGAAAGUCAGAAUGCUGGACCUUGCUUGCAUCAGAGACAGUCCAGGAGAAGGCCUUAAACCCAGCAUGGUGGCUUUGUCUCACUGGAGAACCUUGCAUGCGGUGGCAACCUCAAUACUAACUUUAUGACCUUUCUAUUAGGCAUGGCUUGUGGAGAAAAAGUAUCCCUGAAUUUCAUAUCACUCUCUUUUCUUAUGUGAAUAUUAAGAACAACAAUGACAAUUGAUAUUUAUUUACCAUUUUUCAACAUAGAAAAAUAAUAAAUAAAUAAGUUGGCUCCCUGUCCCCAAAGGG